rnacentral:rRNA from 1 species
UACAGAGGUCCCAAGCGUUGUUCGGAUUCACUGGGCGUAAAGGGUGCGUAGGUGGUGAGGUAAGUCGGAUGUGAAAGCUCGGAGCUCAACUCCGAAAUGGCAUUGGAAACUACCUUGCUCGAGGGUUGGAGGGGGGACUGGAAUACUUGGUGUAGCAGUGAAAUGCGUAGAUAUCAAGUGGAACACCAGUGGCGAAGGCGAGUCCCUGGACAGUUCCUGACACUGAGGCACGAAGGCCAGGGGAGCAAACGGG